rnacentral:rRNA from 1 species
UACGAAGGGGGCUAGCGUUGCUCGGAAUCACUGGGCGUAAAGCGCACGUAGGCGGCUUGUUAAGUCGGGGGUGAAAUCCUGGAGCUCAACUCCAGAACUGCCUUCGAUACUGGCGAGCUUGAGUCCGGGAGAGGUGAGUGGAACUGCGAGUGUAGAGGUGAAAUUCGUAGAUAUUCGCAAGAACACCAGUGGCGAAGGCGGCUCACUGGCCCGGUACUGACGCUGAGGUGCGAAAGCGUGGGGAGCAAACAGG